CAUAGGGACCGAGCGUUGUCCGGAUUUCAUUUGGGCGUAAAGAGCUCGUAGGCGGCCACUCAAGUCGAAUGUGAAACCUCGAGGCUUAACCUCGAGCCUGCAUUCGAUACUGGGCGGCUAGAGUCUGGUAGGGGGAUCUGGAAUUCCUGGUGUAGCGGUGGAAUGCGCAGAUAUCAGGAGGAACACCGGUGGCGAAGGCGGGAUCCUGGGCCAGUACUGACGCUGAGGAGCGAAAGCGUGGGGAGCAAACAGGAUUAGAUACCCUGGUAGUCCACGCCGUAAACGAUGGGCGCUAGGUGUGGGAGGUCAUCGACUCCUUCCGUGCCGCAGCUAACGCAUUAAGCGCCCCGCCUGGGGAGUACGGCCGCAAGGCUA
rnacentral:rRNA from 1 species